CUGAUGCAGCGGCUUUCAGGUGUGACAGGUGCUAUGCUGGGAAGACAAACAGGACAACCGUGCUUGUGGCACUGGGGUGGAGAUAACCGGGGAGCGUCAGCUGUACCUUCUCUUGAAAUGGCCUUUGAAGGCAUGGCCGAGUCAUUGUGACGUCACCUUGGGAAGCAGAGCGGACACCUAGUCCAGGAACUCGACCGGACACCACAAGCCCGGGGAACCAGGGCAAUCCCUUCCCCAGGGCCUGCAGUAGGAGUCAGUUGUCUAACCCAUGAGCUCAUACUACAGCUUCCAGGGCGGCGAGGAGGGGAUCCAUGGGAGACUGGAUACACACCUGCCUGUGUUUAGAUACGUGUUUAGCCAUAUAAUACGCAUUCAGCAACUGUGCAGCUGUUUUAACCCCAGAGAAUCCUAUUCAGAGACAUCAGCACUCUGAUGACUGAGGUGGAGACUGCCCAAAUGCCGUCAGAGAAUCUAAGGAUAUCACUGAUACCCUGCUGCAAUUUCCUCUGAAGAGAUGUAGAUCACUCAGGAGCCACUUGGAUCCAUGAAUGUCAUCUUCUGGGGACACAUGGUCCAGAAGCCAGGCCUGCGGGCAUCUUCCAAAUGGGUUGCACAUGGAUCCUUUGCUAAUGGGGCUGACCACAGAGGUCCAGUAGAGAAAGAAGAGUGAGGUCACUACUGAUCCUCCUCCAUCCCUCUUUAUCUCUCCUGUGUUCUACCCUCUGUGUUGAGAUGUAUUGGGGUCAGUCUUGUGCUGGGUGGUGGUGGUCCACACUAGCUCCUGUCCUUAAAUGGGGACCUCAGGGAACCCCAGAGAGAACCUGACCUCCACUCUUAGUUGCUUCUUCCCACCUAAGAGGUGAAGGGGCAGGAGGAGGCUGUGGUAACAACAGCCCAUGGUCCCUGCACUGAGCAGGAGCACCAAUCACUGAAGUUAUGGUUCAGCAUAACUAACAGCUCUGUGGUCAGGGUGGAUGCCCAUCCCAGCCUUCAGCUAACUGGCACUGCAUGGUCCAGGAACAGCCUCCAGUCUUUCCGAUGAUGACCACAAAAGAAUUUCUUUGCUUAAAAAAAUCCAUCUAUGGGUUGUCCACUAAUAUAGGGAGUAAUUUGCUUUCUAUCAGGUGCAUGCUCAGUGAAACACAACCUCUGCCCUCCAUGGGCCACCAUGGAAAGAGAGAACAGCAGUGAAGUACACUCUACCUGGGGCACAAGAAAGUAUAGGGACGGCAGAUCAUAUGUCCCCUCCACACCCACAUGCCACAUCCACAUGUAAUAUGAACACAUUUAUGCACAGGCGUGCGCACACACACACACACACACACACACAAUACAGCCACAUAUGAGCACAGAUGAACACACACAUUCACAUACAUCUACAAGCAAAUGCACAGGUUAUUGCACCUAAGUGGGAAGAUUUUAAAAAAAAAAAUACCAGAUGUAUAUUUGUCAGCAAAGAAAGACCAGGAGAGGAGAAAAGCUCUCCAAUAUCAAUGCCCAUCACAAAGGAUUGCUUUCAUGGCAUUUUUACAAAAUGAACAAGCAGUAUAGAUACAUCAAAGCCUACCAGCCAUGUCAGAGCAGCAUGAAAGGACUUUUCCUUCCCACAUGAGGAGUCCAGGUGAAUGACCACAGGUCUCCAGACCUUUGCAGGAUGCACAAGCACACAUAAGGAGCAACGUCCUCACAUCUGGCUUCUCUCCAUGCCACACCCAGGGGAACACACACUCCAGUUUCUGGGGGUGUGUCUAAGGCAGAGAGAAUAGAGGCUGGCCAGGAAGUCAGUGCAGAGGGAGCUGACAGAGCCCACGCUGGCCACCAGGCUCUGCUGUAACCUGGUAUAACUAAUUGAGUGGAAUUCUUUAAACAUGUAUCUGAAUUUGAUCUUCAAUAAUUUUAUUAAGGCUUAUUGGAUCAAUAUUCAGAUCCAUAUUCAUACUGACCCAGGGUCGUGUUCAAAUAAAUACCUCACUUGACAUCAGGCACUUUCUAAGGCUUCAUGCCCCAGAUUACACCUGUACACAAAAGAGAACAGGUGAGACACUGUGCUUUUGUCUAAUGCUCUCUGCCACCCACCCCCAAGUUCUCUUAAGGGAAGUCAACAAAAGCAAAUAUGUUUGCUUGGUGAGUUAAUUUGGAAAAGAGAAAAAGCAGCAGUACCCAGUCCCGUGCAUGUGUGCACAGUCCUGUGUCUAUGUGCCCAGUCCCAUUCGUGUGUGCCCAGUCCUGUGUGCCCAGUCCCGUGCAUGUGUGCCCAGUCCCAUGUGUAUGCCCAGUCCCAUUCGUGUGUGCCCAGUCCUGUGUGCCCAGUCCCAUUCAUGUGUGUCCAGUCCUGUGUGCCCAGUCCCGUGCAUGUGUGCCAUAGUCCCAGUGUGACUGCCCACCUAUAUUUACUGGUGGUAGAAUUUUCUUUUUAUUUAUUCUAUGCAUCUUUAUUUAUUUAUUCUAUUACAUCAUGUAUCUUAA